rnacentral:rRNA from 1 species
GAUGAACGCUGGCGGCGUGCCUAACACAUGCAAGUCGAACGGAAAGGCCAUGAUCUUGCGGGGUGCUCGAGUGGCGAACGGGUGUGUAUCACGUGAGUAUACCGUCCUUGACUUUGGGAUAUCUCUAGGAAACUGGGGCUCAUAUCGGAUAGGAGCUCUUGAUGCAUGGUGGGGGAUGGAGAGUUUCGGCGGUUGUGGCUCGACUCGAAGCUUAUCAGCUUGAUGGUGGGGUAGUGGCUUACCAAGGCUUUGACGGGUAGCCGGCCUGGGAGGGUGGACGGCGACAUGGGGACUGAGAUACGGACCAGACGCGUAUGGUAGGCAGUAGUGGAGAAUAUUGCGCAGUAGGCGGGCGCGUGAUACGAAGGCGCUGCGUGCGUAAUAACGUCCUUCGAGUUAAAAACAACUUUCGCCGUUGAUAAGGCGUGAGUGACGGUAAUGGGUAAAGAAGCACCGGCUAACUACGUG